rnacentral:rRNA from 1 species
GACGAACGCUGGCGGCGUGCCUAAUACAUGCAAGUUGAGCGCUGAAGGUUGGUACUUGUACCGACUGGAUGAGCAGCGAACGGGUGAGUAACGCGUGGGGAAUCUGCCUUUGAGCGGGGGACAACAUUUGGAAACGAAUGCUAAUACCGCAUAAAAACUUUAAACACAAGUUUUAAGUUUGAAAGAUGCAAUUGCAUCACUCAAAGAUGAUCCCGCGUUGUAUUAGCUAGUUGGUGAGGUAAAGGCUCACCAAGGCGAUGAUACAUAGCCGACCUGAGAGGGUGAUCGGCCACAUUGGGACUUGGACACGGCCCAAACUCCUACGGGGGGCAGCAGUAGGGAAUCUUCGGCAAUGGACGAAAGUCUGACCGAGCAACGCCGCGUGAGUGAAGAAGGUUUUCGGAUCGUAAAACUCUGUUGGUAGAGAAGAACGUUGGUGAGAGUGGAAAGCUCAUCAAGUGACGGUAACUACCCAGAAAGGGACGGCUAACUACGUG